rnacentral:tRNA from 1 species
GCCGGAGUGGCGGAAUUGGCAGACGCGCUGGACUCAAAAUCCAGUGAGGGGUGACUCUCGUGAGGGUUCGAUUCCCUCCUCCGGCACCA